rnacentral:rRNA from 1 species
CCUACGGGGGGCAGCAGUGGGGAAUAUUGGACAAUGGGGGGAACCCUGAUCCAGCCAUGCCGCGUGUGUGAAGAAGGCCCUCGGGUUGUAAAGCACUUUCAGUGAGGAAGAACGCCUGGUGGUUAAUACCCAUCAGGAAAGACAUCACUCACAGAAGAAGCACCGGCUAACUCCGUGCCAGCAGCCGCGGUAAUACGGAGGGUGCGAGCGUUAAUCGGAAUUACUGGGCGUAAAGCGCGCGUAGGUGGCUUGAUAAGCCGGUUGUGAAAGCCCCGGGCUCAACCUGGGAACGGCAUCCGGAACUGUCAAGCUAGAGUGCAGGAGAGGAAGGUAGAAUUCCAGGUGUAGCGGUGAAAUGCGUAGAGAUCGGGAGGAAUACCAGUGGCGAAGGCGGCCUUCUGGACUGACACUGACACUGAGGUGCGAAAGCGUGGGUAGCAAACAGGAUUAGAUACCCGUGUAGUC